rnacentral:rRNA from 1 species
UACAGAGGUCUCAAGCGUUGUUCGGAUUCAUUGGGCGUAAAGGGCGCGUAGGCGGUGGGGUAAGUCUGGUGUGAAAUCUCGGAGCUCAACUUCAAGUAAUCACUGGAUACUGGCUCUGCUAGAGGGCUGGAGAGGAGAUCGGAAUUCACGGUGUAGCAGUGAAAUGCGUAGAUAUCGUGAGGAAGAACAGUGGCGAAGGCGGAUCUCUGGACAGCUCCUGACGCUGAGGCGCGAAGGCUAGGGGAGCAAACGGG